CAAACGUAUAAACGAAUGAAACCAAAAAGAAGUAGUAGGGACAUCAACAGUACACAAUUCAAAGAGAGAGCAGCGGCAGCUAAUCACGCCAGCGUUCACUCUCACUUCCGGCAGCCAUCUUGAAAACAGAACAAUCAAAACACAUUUUUGCAGGUCGUAUCUCCGGUUGCUCUGCGGCCGAACAUCAUGGAAUUGGAGGCCUUGCUCGGAACUGACUUUGAACCCCACUGUGGGGCAUGGACUUACCAUCCAAGCCAAUUCCUUGCCUGGGAUCGACGCUCCAACCGCGGCCUGCGGACUUUAACAUCGGGAGCUCGCAGUCUUGGGUUGAGAUCGAGUCGGGAGCUCCAAAGUCGCAGAAGGUUUUUGACCAGUCCCGACCCGGGGCCAGAUCACCCGGCGCGGGGAGCUGACAUUCCCCUAGUGCAGGAGCUUGAUCGCCCCGACGCGGAGGGCCCAAACGCUACCGGCUACUGGUCAAGAUCGUCCCGUCAACGGAAGGCUCGAGGCCCCCGACCGCGGGAGAACAAUGAAGGGAAGAGAUUUAACUUUUUUUUGCCUUCCAUCACAGUGAGGAAUGUGGAGGAGUCACUGUGGUGGAUGUUUAUGUUAAAAUAUAUUUUGUGUGUUCUGUUGCUUUUUAUUUGUAUGACUCUUUGGCAAAUCAAAUGUCUAGUAUGUUGCAAAACAUGCUUGGCUAAUAAAGAAUGAUUAUGAUGAUUAUGAAAGUAAAUGAAUGCUGUUCUUUAUUACAGGAAGGUUGGAAGAGAAUCAAGAUAGCAAGCUUUGGGAACAUCAUCACUGGUGUGAUGCAUACAGUUCACAUUUGGAAUAGACUCGUAUUCUAGGGAGAGUGGGUAUGAUUUAUUUGCAAUUUAAACAAUUCUCGCAGACAUUGCAGAGUGAAUAUCGGGAGGGGGUUUGUCCUGCUUGUUGAAUCAAAAACUAGGCACCAUAAAUUUGAAAUUCAGUCUCACCCUUUUUUAGCAAACUGUUGCAAUAACUAGUCACAUUAAUUUCAUUGUUAUAUUGCAAUUUCAAUGCCUCAUAACUCUACUUGUUGACUCUUGGCAGACCAAUUUCCUUCUGGGAUCAAUGAAGUCAUAUCAUAAACACAUACUACUACACGUUGUGAGAUACUUAUGAAACUGAUUUCCAAUGAUUUCAUGUUACAAAGUCUUCCAUUUAUUUAACGCUACCACUUGGAAAGCCAUCAUCAGGAUUCUCCUCAAUUUCCUCCUUGCAGUGGUCAAUACGAUGUUCCCAAAUCACCAUGUGAUUCAGUCCACAAAGAAGCACAGUGGGCAAACUCUUCAUUCAACAAUAAGUCCAAAGAGAUAAAAGAUAAGCAGGAACUUAGCAGCAUCAAAGACAGUACUAUGUGGAAUAUGUUGGCCUUACUAAAACCUUCGACUCCUUGAAUUAGCAAAGGUUUUAGAGCAUCUUUCUCACAUUUAGCUAACAGCAAGAAUUAAUCUCUAUUGUUUGACUACAACAUGGCAAACUCAAAUUGUGAUCUUAACCAUGAAGUCCACAACAGAGCCCAUCUCAUUACAGUAUGGUGUUAAGCAGUUAUAGUACAUCAUCACUUCAAAACUAUCUUCAAUCUGGACGAGGGUUGGUCAAGAUUAUAAAUAAUGAUCUCCUUUUCUUUUUUAUUUUAUUUUAUUUUCUCUAUUUUCUCUCUCAAUUUUCUUCAUUUACUCGUUUUCUUUCUUCACACACUAUAUAUUUCACAUCUUUCUAUCCUUUACUAUCUAACUUCUUUUUCUUAUUCUCAUCUUUUUUCAAUGUAACAAAAAAAAAAGAAGUUGUACAUAAAAUGUAUUAUGAAAAUAUAUAUUAGGCA